rnacentral:rRNA from 1 species
GAUGAACGCUAGCGAUAGGCUUAACACAUGCAAGUCGAGGGGCAGCAUGGUCUUAGCUUGCUAAGACUGAUGGCGACCGGCGCACGGGUGCGUAACGCGUAUGCAACUUGCCUCACAGAGGGGGAUAACCCGUCGAAAGACGGACUAAUACCGCGUACACUCCAUCUUGGGCAUCCAGGGUAGAGGAAAUGAAUUUCGCUGUGAGAUAGGCAUGCGUCCCAUUAGCUAGUUGGUGAGGUAACGGCUCACCAAGGCAACGAUGGGUAGGGGAACUGAGAGGUUGAACCCCCACACUGGUACUGAGACACGGACCAGACUCCUACGGGAGGCAGCAGUGAGGAAUAUUGGUCAAUGGGCGAGAGCCUGAACCAGCCAAGUCGCGUGAAGGAUGACUGUCUUAUGGAUUGUAAACUUCUUUUGUAGGGGAAUAAAGAACGGUACGUGUACCGUAGUGAAUGUACCCUACGAAUACGCUU